GUUGCACCACAUUUGGGCAGUCCCGUGACGGGCUAACAGAAUAACGUAUUAAACACACACACACACACAAUGUCUGGAGAGGCAGCAACCAUCUUUGAUGUCAAGCCCAGCAUGAGAAUGCAGGGAUUAAAAAAUAGGUCUUUGAUCCUCGAAGCAUCGUUGAGCAGCGGAGUCAAUGCCAGCAGCAUCUCACCUCGAGUUUCUUGUUUUGAGAAAGAAAAUAUGUGACCUUGCCCAGCCCCACUUCUUUCCGGUGGCUUAGUGAGGCUUUUGUUAUUUGCAUCCCUAACCGACACGGUGUGGAUGGGGACCAUCUCCGCAAUAUGGCACCUGUCAGGAAGGAGAAAGGCGAUGAAUGCCAUUUCAGAUGUCACAGUUCAGGUUUUUGUGGGAUGUUCAGUUGCUGCUUGUUCUGGUUACUAAUCCCGCAUAACAAACCACUCCCAAAUUCGAGGCAUAAAACAACAGGUAUUUCAUUAGGAUCACAGCUUCAGUGGGUCAGGAAUUUGGAUGGAAGCCAGCAGUGGGGAGCUUGUCCCUACCCCACCAUGUGUGAGAAGACCUGGAGCUGAGGGUAACUUGAAAGGCUGACGGCUGGAGUCAUCCAGAAGCUUCUCUACUCAUAUGUCUGGAUCAGGGGUGCACUGACUUGGAGGCUGGACUCAAAGCUCAUCUAUGUGGCUUGGGCUUCUGGAAGCAUGGUGGCUAGAUUCUGCGAGGGAGCAUCCCGGAGAGCCAGGUAGAAGCCGCAUACCUUUUAUGACCAACCUUCUGAAAUAACAGAGCAUCACUUCCUGGUGCUCUGUUCUUCGAGCUGUCACAAGCCUGUCCAGACACUAGGGAGGGGGUCUAGACCCUGCCUCUCGAUGGGAGGAGUGACAAAGAGUUUGCUGCCAUGUUUGGGUUGCUGGACAAGAUGCACAGGCAACUGGUGGUGACAGAGACCACGUGUGGUUGAGAUCACCUGGGGAUGCUGUGGAAAGUGAAAAGAAGGCCGUGGAUGGAGCCCUGAGGACGUGAGGAUUGUCAGUAGAUGAUUAUGGAAUGAAUCAUUCAUUCAAGAACGCGACUCUGUAGGUAGCCCCCCAGCUCAGCAUUUCUUCAAUCUGGCCCCAAGCAGGACAAUGAUCACAGUUGACUGAGUCUCCAUUUACCUCCUGGAGCCAGACAAGGCACCCGUAUAGUCGACUUCUCAAACUGCAGUGUGCACAAGGACGACUCCAGGCGGCUCAUUCUAAACAGAGACUCCCGGGCCCCACUCCCAGAGAUUUCCACCACUGGGAUCCAGAAAUCUGCCUUUUUAAACAACUUCUUUCUGAACUAUGGCUACGGGGCCUGCGUGGACAGCGCAGCACUGAGCUGCUCAGCCGUCCAUCCCAACGGGGCUGAGGCCAGAGUCUUUGAUGCUAAGAUGUCCGGGCUUCAAGUCCAGCUCUGCUGCUUUGUAGCCUCGUAACUUCUGGAAGUUUUCUUCUGACAUCAGUUUUCCUGUCUGUACAAUUAAGGGGUUGAGUUAGAGCAACGCUUUCAAACCGUGUUCUACAGGACCUGUGGGCGUUCUGCAUUAAUCCGUUUAGCAAAUAUUCAUUGAAAGUUUGCUAUAUGCUGGCCCUGGGCUGGAUACUGGGGAUAUUACAGAAUUAAUGAUCAUUAUCAAAGGUACUCCCAAAGAGAAGCACACGGCACCGUUGAGAAGGAAUAGGAGAGGGAGCCAACAGGAAUUCUUUAAAUUGUGUGCGUGUCCACUCGGCUUACCAUUCGGACAAACUGCUCCCAGGAUCGAAACUACUGGCUUAGGUCCUCGCAACAGAAACCUUUUGUUCUAGGAUGUUUUUCAAUGAUCUUACUUCUGAGUAAAGUCAAAACAGGCAGAAUGCAAUUACUGGAUUUGAAAUUUGUCCAAGACUCCAAGGUUAACACCUUCAUCUUUGGAAAGAAAUUGCAGAUCUCUUUAGGGAUCGAAAACGUUCUGUAUCAUGGUUUCAUGACCUUGAAAAGCCAGCACCUUAACCUGGGAAAUGGAGUGAAGGAACAGACAGACAGGAGGACUGAAAGGCAGCUUCUCUCGGGGCUGGAGGACGCCGCAGAGCACAGAGGCGUAGGGCGGGGCCUCUGGACACGACGUGCCUGGUGGACCAGCUCAUCGGAUGGAUGACUUACAUUCCGAGUCUUCCAGCUGUCAUCUGCAGAAUGGGCAUGUGAUACUGGCUUCUCAGAGUCUUUUUAAGAAGAAAGACCAUAUAUAAAACAUUAUUAGCUCUGUGCCAGAUAGUAAGCAUUCGGUAAAUGAUGGCCAUUAUUAAUUUAAGUGGCUUUCUUAUGCGUAUUAUACUUGUCAACAUUCCUGCAAUUGUUUUAUAAAUGAGAAUGGAAAAUUACGCAGUUUUGGGAGUUGCCAACUGUCAGGGCUCUGCCAGGCCAACAGCAUCUCUCUGGGGAAGAAAGCUCUGUAAUUCUCUCUUUUUUGAACUACACGCCCACGGUGGUGGCCUUAAAUUUUGAGUUUGCCUGUCCGGCCUCCUCCCGCCACAAUCCCAAAGAAGAGCAAGUUAUUUUUUUCCAGUUAAAAUCCAGCCCACGUGUUCAAAUUUGGGAUAUAAGGCCUCCAUGUUUCAAAAGAAUGAAGAUGACAUCCG
ensembl:lncRNA